UUUUGCGUUACUUGGGUCAUCUCUUUCUCUUACUUGUUCAUUUUCCUUGUAGCUUCUCCCCAUUAAUAUCUUUCUGGGUGUUUCACUUCCAAAGGUACCAGCGUCGACGCCAGAUCUUUCAAAGCUUUCUUUCUUCACUUCUGCAGCACCAAGGCCCCCAUUCAGUGCUGUCCUGAACUGAGGCCUAGAACUCUGCUUUGAUGUCGACACAGUUCUGUCAAGAGAUCCAGACCCUUCUGAAACUGUUGAAACACUGUGGUGAUGGGAACAGCAGAAGAACAGACCUG